UGGAGCCAUAUCAUGUUUAAACACCAGUUCUUGUACAAUCACUGAUGUUAAGCAAUGUUGAGCCUGGUCAGUACCUAGAUGGGUGACCACUUGGGAAUACCAGGUUCUGUAUG